rnacentral:rRNA from 1 species
UACAGAGGGUGCAAGCGUUAAUCGGAAUUACUGGGCGUAAAGCGUGCGUAGACGGUUACAUAAGUCGGGUGUGAAAGCCCCGGGCUCAACCUGGGAAUUGCAUUCGAGACUGCGUAGCUAGGGUGCGGAAGAGGGAAGCGGAAUUUCCGGUGUAGCGGUGAAAUGCGUAGAGAUGUGGAGGAAUACCGAUGGCGAAGGCAGCCCCCUGGGAUAACACUGACGCUCAUGCACGAAAGCGUGGGGAGCAAACAGG